GACGAACGCUGGCGGCGUGCUUAACACAUGCAAGUCGAACGGAAAGGCCCCUUUGGGGGUACUCGAGUGGCGAACGGGUGAGUAACACGUGAGUAACCUGCCCUUGACUUCGGGAUAACUUCAGGAAACUGGGGCUAAUACCGGAUAGGAAUCCUUGCUGCAUGGUGGGGGUUGGAAAGCUUCGGCGGUUUUGGAUGGAGUCGCGGCUUAUCAGCUUGUUGGUGGGGUAGUGGCUUACCAAGGCUUUGACGGGUAGCCGGCCUGAGAGGGCGACCGGCCACAUUGGGACUGAGAUACGGCCCAGACUCCUACGGGAGGCAGCAGUGGGGAAUAUUGCACAAUGGGCGGAAGCCUGAUGCAGCAACGCCGCGUGCGGGAUGACGGCCUUCGGGUUGUAAACCGCUUUCAGCAGGGGCGAAGCUUGUGGUGACGGUACCUGCAGAAGAAGCACCGGCUAACUACGUG
rnacentral:rRNA from 1 species